ACACCUUAAAGAGGGCUACUUCUGAAUUGGAAAACUUUACUUUUGUUUGUGGUUAGAUUGUGGUUAGCUUUCCAGUGGUUGGAGUGCAUGUGUCUUAAAGGUUUCAUAUUUGUUAAUAUGAUGGAGGUAGAUGGUAACUACAUGACAGCCUUGCCAUAUUGGCUGGAGAAGAGCCUGAGAAUGAGAUGUGUGUGAACUUCUGUCAAGAGUCAACUUCAGACCCCGUGUGGUGGCAUACUCUUGUAUGCCUAGAGGCAAGAGGACUGUUGCAAGUUCAAGGUCAGCCUGGGCUACACGGCCAGUUCUAGGCCAGCCAGGACUGCACAGUGGGACUGUCGUCAUUGGAGGGUUAACACAGAGUUAAAACUAUCUCAUAAAGCCACUCAAGUAACUGAGAACCCAGCCCUGGGAGCCCAACCCUAACCACCAGUAACUGGGACUGGGAGGGUCUUCCCUACUAACUGAGAACAUGGGGGCAGGCAGAGGAAUAUAUAGCUAGUAGGGCUGAAGAAAUGAAGUAAUGGCUUGUGGAUAAUGGUGAAAAUAUUUGAUGAUGUGACUCCGGGGAAGCAAUUAUGGUUAACCCCUCAUUUGUUUGGCAUUUUCAAGGAUUGAACUGUCCCACAAAACCAAAUUUUCCAGACAGCUAAAACUUUCCUAUUUAUGUCUCUUGAAUGUUUUUAACCAUGCUUAUUGGAGAUGUUUCUGAAGUAGAUUAUUCCAUUUUUCUUCCUUCUUAAACUGAGAAACUAUAAGAAAUAUUGUUUCCUUGGAUACCUUUGACUCUAAACACGAGAAAACCCGAUCAAGUGAGGUCAAAAUAGUGAAGACUUGUAAUUGCCUCAGAAAACAAGAAACCCCAGAGAUGAUAAAGUCAGUCGCUCAACGAUACCAAGCUAAUCUCCUCACAGACACUAGCUAGGGGCCACAGCUCCAAGACUCAGGACUUCACGUGGUAAAUCAAAGACUAGAAUGAAAUGGGGGCUUCUGCCUCCACAUGUCUCUAACCAGAGAGGAAAAUAUUUCUCAGAAAAGCCCUUGCCAAUUUCCCGUCAGAUCCCACUGGCAACAGUGAGUCAGAUUUCCAUGCUUUGGGGGAGUGAGUACAGCUCACUUGUAGAGUGCUUGUCUAACUUGUGUGAGGCCCGGGUUCUAAUCCAUAGUGCCACCCACAGCAGUCACAUGCCUUGGCUUCUGGGAGUCUAAGAGAAUCAAGCACUUACAAACUGGGAAGAGAAGGGAGCUCUGCUCAUGGAAGAAAAAAGAUAAAGGCUGUGAGGUAGCAAUUAAGGGUGGUUACAUCUUCAAGAUUCAGGGUGAGGGGUCCCUGACUGUAGUAGUCUGAGGGUGACUUGAAUGGCGCAGCAUUCUGUGCUCCUACACUAAGUGGCCUCAGGCUAGGAUCUUCCCCUGCUGUUUUCAUUUAUUAUUUAUUCUACUGUCCUUCCCCAAGCCAGACUGCUGAUCAUCAGUACCUGCUACUAAAGCACUUUUGUCAUUAGCUUGCUGUGAUUAUGAUGUUUUCUUUUAUUUCUGAGGAUGAAAAAUCCUAUAACCAAAGUUGUUAGAACUCUGCCUAAAAUACUGAGAGUCAGUCAGGCUGCCCUGUGUAUUCAGUGCAUGGGGUAGAGUUUCUCUUGGCUGUUCUAGGGCCAUUUUUCCAUGGUUGGUAGAUUUGAAGAAAUGAGAGCUUCCUGUUGAGCUUUGUAUCUGAAAUACCCUUUUCCUGGAGUCUUAUUAUGGUGAAAGCACAGCUACACACUGUACCUUACAGCGGUGCAGAGAGAGGCAGCGUACUUUAUCUGCAUUCAGAUUCCUUUCAUGCUGCCCACAGGCUGCUCCUGAACUACAGCUAACUGCGUGGCAGUGACCACUAGGGCCCAUCAUGCAGCAGCUAUCUAGAGCGUGGCUUCAUUGCUCCUGUCUUCUCUCAGGUGGCCAAAGCCCCGUGGACUAGACCCAAGAAAGACCCAGCUUGUGUAGAAGUGCUCUGUAUGACUUAUCUGAACAAGCUCCUAAAGAAAGAACCUUAAGAGCUAUUCAGGUAGACUGAGCCAGUGAAAGCCAUCCCUUCUAUUCUCAGAGAGCUGGUGAAAGCGCACCGGAAGAAGGAAGCAGGGAGCUGCUGUCAGAGUAGGAUUGACAAUAAGCAGUGGAUAUUGCGCUCAAGGCUCAGGCAUGUGCCAGUCAGUGCCAAGACAGCAAGUGGUUAAAGUGUUCAUAGUGCAACUAUGAUACCACAUUGCGUAGAUCUGCAAAGUUCCUUAAGAACAAGUUAGCUCUUUGAAGACCUAAAUUAAUUCUUUCUCAUCAGUUAACCUUUAAGUAAAAGUUAAGUGGCAGAAACAUUUGGAGAUAAGGAAAACACGUUUUUGUUUUUGCUAACUUCUGACUAAUUUGAACCAUUCAGAUCUUAUAAGAAAAAUGCAAAGUGUUUCUGAAAUACUUCAGUUAUUACAUCAUCCUAUACACAAAGUAGUCUUUAAAGAAGCCACCCUUUUAACUACUGACUAUUUUAAACAGGAUAUAACUUACUUGAGCAAGGUAUCUAUAGCUUUAAAUGUUUAUGUUCUCAUAUGUGAGUUAAAUUUUAUCUCUGAAAUCCUUUGAGAGUUCCUGUUCCUCUAUAAUCCAGUUGCUGUAUGCACACAGAAACUUUUCAGAUUUGAACAUUGGCUACAACGACACUGUUACACAAAUCUCCACAGAGAAAGAAACAUGUAAUACAUGCUUUAGGGGCUCGUGGGUGUACACCAGCAUGUAGCUUUCUGAUAUUUAAAUGAAAACAAAAAUCAGUAUCUCACUUCACGAGUGAGCAGAUAUUCACAGGUUUAUUGUUUCUGCUGCUAAUGGGCAUCUGAGUUAAAGAAGAUGGUUCAAAACUAGGUGAACAAGUAUUUCUCAACAUAUCAAAUACUAAUUCCAGUGAUCCUUUUCUUCUACAAAACAAAAUAAUGGAAGAAAUAGAAAGCAUUCCAGCCAGACGCAGUGAUGCUUGCCUGGAGUCCUGAAUACUUUGGAAUCUGGGGCCAAAAGAUGGUAUAAGCCCAGGAGUUUGGCACCAGCCAAAGCGCUAUUCCUGGUCCUGGAAACUUUUCUCUUUAUGGGAAACUGGAGAAUGGCUCAGUCUGUAAAGUGCUCGAAAGAAGACCUGAGUUUGAGCCAUAGGAAAGCCGAGCGUGAUGGCAUGUGCUUAUGAUCCCAGCACUGGGGAAGCAGAGCCCCAAGGAUGCUCAGGGCCUACCAGCCAGCUAGUCUACUUGCUGAGUUCCAGGCCACUUGAGAUACCCUUUCUCAAAAAAGGUGGGUGGUGUUCCUAAGGAUGACACCUUGAAGCACUGACACACUUAUAUACCCCCACACACACAAUUCUUUGUUUUUAAAAAAAAUGUAUUCUAAAGCCCCCAAAAGCCAGUAGCUUGAACAUCACAUAGCCUGUAGUAGUGUCUAUACUACUGUUGAUACUGAGUGAUGGCUGUUUGUAAAUGCUUGCAUUGAGUUCUACUACUUGCAAUUACUAUUUUUAUAGGUAGGCUAGCAUAUUAAAUACUUUUCUGUUAUUAAUGAUUGCUUUGGAGCUUAAUCUGAAUGUUGUUUUCUAUCUGAAAAAUCUAAUGUAAUACAGCAACUGCAACUGAAAUCAAAGGAAUAUAUACAUGAUCAGGCAACUGUUUCUAAAAACUUAGAGGGAAUUAAAUGAGUAUCAGAGGAUAUAAAAAGGUUAGAAAGCAGCAUUUGUUCAAAGUAGCUGAAGAGGUUACAGACCAAGCUUUGUUAUAUGAAAGAAGCCAAAAGAAUUUUCUGAAUUGAGUUAUUUGUAUUCUGAUUGCUCUUUUUCAUUGUUCUAUGUGUUAUAAGCUCUGCUUUGGUAAAAAUAGACAUGUAUGGAGGCUGUCUUAUUGUGACACAGAGAAAUGUGACUAAAAAGUGGACAUUCUCAGUCUUGCCCCUUUUCUUUGGUGGCGAUGUGAGUCACCAUAGAAACUCCCUGUGUCCUGAGUCAGGCAGCCUCAGAAGUCUGAGAGAGCCUACCCGUGGCAAGGGUUUUGUUGUUGUUGUUGUUGUUGCUGCUGCUGCUGCUGCUAUUGUUGUUGUUGCGUUUUUUGUUUUUGUUUUUGCUUUUUUUAGCCUUACCGUGAACCUAACUUUUCCUUCAAGAAGUCACAUAUGGGGAAAGCACUUGUCCAGGUUCAGCAUUGCCAAGGGAGUGAUAAAUUCCACACCGUCCAGUACAUGUUCCUUUAAUAUAUGUAUUUUGUACAGCUAAAGUUGUCAUCCUUGUUUAUUUUUUACAGUGAAGGCUUGGGCUUACUAAAUUGUAAUUGCAACGCAGUUAUAAGCAACUUACAUGAGUAUUCUUCAGUGCAGGGGAAGCAGUGUCGCACAGUAGGGGCUGUGGCUCUAGGCCUGUCUCCUGUUGCUGCCUGUCUCUGAGAAAGUCAAUAAACUCCAUGCACUUUCUAGUUUACUCAUCUGUUAACAUUAACGUCCCCUUCAUGAAGUUUUAUGUAACGGAGUAUCUAAAACUUACUCAGAAAAGCCAGAAAAUUCUAUACAUACUGUUACGGCAUUUGUCAGUGUGCCUCUUCUUUGUACUAGAAACGGUAGCAUUUAGACAAACAUUGUCUGCCUCAAAGGAUGUUGCAGAAGUCUGUUUCUGGGGAUGGUUUGCCUCCAGUAAAACUAAAAAGUGAUUUUAUUUUUAAAAAUUGACUUACCCCCCCCCAAAAAAAUGCUAAAGCGUGUACUACUCACACGCAGGGAGGUGUAGACUGAGCCCUGCCGCUCCAGCAAGCAGCCUGCGUGCAGAUUGGCCCCUGUUAUGGCCCAUUAAGGAGCUCCCUCUGAUUUAGGAGAUAUAAAUAUAUGUGGUAACAUGUGGGAAAAUGGAAAGUGCUGAGUAUGGAGAUUCACUGCUUGAUUGGAAGCAGAAUGAUAAUUUUAUUUUUCUGGUUGUCUAGUUGGCGAAUCCUAUGAAGUACAGAGAUUACUAAAUGCCUUCUUUGUCCCUUUUCCAAGUUUGUUCUUGAAAACCACCUUCCAUCCUGCCCCCCUCCAACAAAUUACAGAUGAGGAAGGCACUGUCCCACCCUUGAAGAGCUAUGGCAUAAUUGAAACUUGGCGCAGCUAUGGGCUGGCUCUGCAGUGGCUGUUGGGCAAGGCCAGAACCUAGGACAUCAGACUGUGGGAUGUACGCCAUCCUGGCUGACUCUUCCAUGUGCAUUCUGUGGUGGGCUUUCAGUGCGUUCACAGAUGUUUCAGGGUGAUGACACUGGACUCCAUACAUGACCUACCUCCUGGAGACAGGCGCGAUGUCCUAGAUUCCUUGGUCCCUCGCUCCAUAGCUUUGAUCUCAAGCAAUAUUGUUGUUCCAAGCUUCAUGUACCCAACAUUCUGACUUAGCCAAAAAGGUGUCUCAACUUUUAACUGUCUAACUCUUUCUUUCCCUUUUUCUGCAUUUCCAGUUGACCUGCCCCUGUUUUUUCCUCGCGAUCAGCCGACUCUCACGUUUCAGUCCGUCUAUCAUUUUACCAACAGUGGACAACUUUACUCCCAAGCACAAAAGAAUUACCCCUACAGCCCCAGAUGGGAUGGAAAUGAAAUGGCCAAGAGAGCAAAGGCUUAUUUCAAAACCUUUGUCCCACAGUUCCAGGAGGCUGCAUUUGCCAAUGGAAAGCUCUAGGAAACACCAGUGUUGAGAGGCAGCCAACCAGACUGCUCCGUCCACACGCUGUCAGCACGCAGGCCGCUUCCUGGAAGCCUCUUGGAAAGUCUUCAUGGCGGUCUUUUGCUCAUACAGCGCCACUGCCUGUCCCACACAGCCCUACUCUGCUGGAGCCCAGACUUGAGCUGGCUGGUAGAACCCCGAAUCCUAGCACCCAUCAUUGCUGGUUGCUCCUCUGUCCUCUUCACAUUUCUUAGCCGGAAGAAAUAAACUCCUUUCCAAUGCAGAAGUCUUCCGGGAAAAUAAAAUAUCAUGACCACACA